rnacentral:rRNA from 1 species
CCUACGGGAGGCAGCAGUAGGGAAUCUUCCACAAUGGGCGAAAGCCUGAUGGAGCAACGCCGCGUGAGUGAUGAAGGCCUUCGGGUUGUAAAACUCUGUCAUUCGGGACGAACCGGAGUCUGAGGAAAUGCAGACUCUCUGACGGUACCGGAGGAGGAAGCCCCGGCUAACUACGUGCCAGCAGCCGCGGUAAUACGUAGGGGGCAAGCGUUGUCCGGAUUCACUGGGCGUAAAGCGCGCGCAGGCGGUGAUGUAAGUCUGAGGUGAAAACCCGAAGCUCAACUUCGGGACUGCCUUGGAUACUGCGUCACUUGAGGAUAGGAGAGGCAAGGGGAAUUCCACGUGUAGCGGUGAAAUGCGUAGAGAUGUGGAGGAACACCUGUGGCGAAGGCGCCUUGCUGGCCUAUUUCUGACGCUGAGGCGCGAAAGCGUGGGGAGCAAACAGGAUUAGAUACCCUGGUAGCCCACGCUGUAAACGAUGAGUGCUAGGUGUAGGUGGGCUCANACCACUCUGUGCGAGACGUACGCGAUAGUCGACGUCCGUUCCGUUCGGGUAGGUUACGGUUCGGCGAGACGUUAGAACGUUACGAAGGAAGUUAGACGGCGUUGAGACGNGCCGACGGACGACGACGAGGGAGGUUAGG